ensembl:lncRNA
CUUUCUAUGACUCAUCUUCGGAGGCUUUAAAGCACCCUGUGGAGCAAUCUGUCUCUCCUGGCUUGUCUGAGCAACGUGAGAGAAAACUGGCUAGAGCAGAACUGGGUGAAAGGGACCACCUUGGAGCUGCUGAAUUCAUAUGCUGAUGGUGCUGAAGCAAGCAAUAAGAGCAUACCUUUGGGACAAUGGAUGGCAUCAGCAUUGAACUGAAGCCAACUCUGGUGUUUUAAAGAAAAAUUAUCAUGACACUUCUAAAUGAGAAAACUGAUGCACAUAGGAUUGGAUAACUUACAAGGUAAGUUAUCAAUGUGAAUCCCAAGUCUAACUAUAGAGGCCAGGCUCUUAACCAUCACACGGUCCUGCCUUCCUCAAUUAAUAAGCACACUUGUAUAUAUAUUUAUAUACUUUAUUUUUAUUUUUGUGAGAUAACGACCCAGAAUUGAGCUUAUAGGUAAAGUCUUUGUGUAUUUUUAUAUCUUGACAAAUCCUGUCAGAUUACUUUUGGAAUGAAG